UGGUUCUGGCAUCGAUGAAGAACGCAGCGAAAUGCGAAAAGUAAUGUGAAUUGCAGAAUUCAGUGAAUCAUCGAAUCUUUGAACGCACAUUGCGCCCGCCAGUAUUCUGGCGGGCAUGCCUGUCCGAGCGUCAUUUCAACCCUCAAGCCCCGCUUGGUGUUGGGGUCCUACGGCUGCCGUAGGCCCUGAAAGCUAGUGGCGGGCUCGCUACCACUCCGAGCGCAGUAACGCAUCUCGCUAGGGACGUGUGUGGCGGGUUCCGGCCGUGAAACCCCCCCAUUUUCACAAGGUUGACCUCGGAUCAGGUAGGAAUACCCGCUGA
rnacentral:misc_RNA from 1 species